rnacentral:rRNA from 1 species
GAUGAACGCUGGCGGUAUGCCUAACACAUGCAAGUCGUACGAGAGUUUUUAACUCUAGUGGCGGACGGGUGAGUAACACGUGAGAAUUUGCCUUUAGGAGGGGGAUAACAAUUGGAAACGAAUGCUAAUACCCCAUAUGCUUUUGAGUGAAAUGGAUUUUAUCCGCCUAGAGAGAAGCUCGCGGCUGAUUAGCUUGUUGGUAAGGUAAGAGCUUACCAAGGCGACGAUCAGUAUCUGGUUUGAGAGGACGAUCAGACACACUGGAACUGAGACACGGUCCAGACUCCUACGGGAGGCAGCAGUGGGGAAUUUUGGACAAUGGGGGCAACCCUGAUCCAGCAACGCCGCGUGAGUGAAGAAGGCCUUCGGGUUGUAAAGCUCUUUUGUCAGGGAAGAAACAGCAGCUCUAAUACAGUUUGCGAAUGACGGUACCUGAAGAAUAAGCACCGGCUAACUACGUG